GUCUCCUGAGCCUCAAUAAUGCAUGAUCCAUACCCGGAGAUAAAAGUCUAGACAAUAGAUGGCUGUUUAUGACAACAAGGCUCUCCAAGUUUGGGGCUAGGCGAUAAAUCUCUGGCAAAUCUUCCUGUAACUCAACUUCUGGCUGUAGUGA
rnacentral:sRNA from 1 species